GAUAAACGCUGGCGGCGCACAUAAGACAUGCAAGUCGAACGGACCAAAACUUUAGUUUACUAUAGUCGAGGUUAGUGGCGGACUGGUGAGUAACACGUAAGCAACCUGCCUAUCAGAGGGGAACAACAGUUAGAAAUGACUGCUAAUACCGCAUAUGCCAUAAUCACCACAUGGUGAUAGUGGGAAAGGAGCAAUCCGCUGAUAGAUGGGCUUGCGUCUGAUUAGAUAGUUGGUGGGGUAACGGCCUACCAAGUCGACGAUCAGUAGCCGGACUGAGAGGUUGAACGGCCACAUUGGGACUGAGAUACGGCCCAG
rnacentral:rRNA from 1 species